rnacentral:tRNA from 1 species
GUGGAUCACCUCCUUUCUAAGGAUAAGGAAGUACGUUUGGAAGUCUUAUUUAGUUUUGAGAGGUCUUAAAAAAGUAAAGAGAACGUUAAGAAAUCUGUAUGAAAAUAGGAAAGAGACGCAGUGUCAAAAGACACAAGGAAGUUUAUCAUUUUCACUAAGAUUUUAGUUCGAAUACAAUUUAGAUCCAUAAUAUAGUAUGAGUAACAAGAUAAGAAACGUUAACAUAUUAACUGUGGGGCCUUAGCUCAGCUGGGAGAGCGCCUGCUUUGCACGCAGGAGGUCAGCGGUUCGAUCCCGCUAGGCUCCAUAGACAAGGAAGUCUCUAAAAUACGUGAAGUCCAUUGAAAAUUGAAUAUCUAUAUCAAAUUCCACGAUCAUGAAAAUGAUUGUAGAAAAAGUAACAAGAAAUAAACCGAAAAAAAGAUAAACGCGAACAUAUUAAAAAAAAUAAAGAAGGUCGAAAGACUGGAAAUAAGGUUAAGUUAAUAAGGGCGCACAGUGGAUGCUUUGNCCCAGAA